ACGCCCUCAACCAUCUUCUAAAAGAAUUUUUGAAUCAGCAACUCACAUCAACAGGAGUUUAGAUUUAUUGUUGGGGAUCGAAUCAUUACCAAACUUAUUUUGACGAGAAUUAAGGAAACCGUCAUUUAAAGGGUGUGGUCCGUGACAUCGGGUUCUUAUAUACAAAGAAAUUAUCGUCAUCAUCAGGGAGCCUUUAAACAUCUUUCUGUUUUGGGAGAGACAUAGGGUUAAUAGGUGUAACACUCAUCAAAAUAAUGGAUCCACGAAUACGAAAAGAAACUUAACUUUGCUGCCGUGAUCAUGUGCUGUCUUAAGGGUACUUGUAAGACCAUUGCGCAGAUCCACACCUCUGUAAUAGAGUACGUGUAGCUGCCUUUUGGGGACGCUAAAUUUGUUAACGAAAAUAUCGUUGGCCAAAUUUAGACUUUGAUUUCUCGAAUUCUGUCCAAAUGAUUCGUACAAUCAAGAAUAUGUUCCUAUUCGCUCUUUAGAGUAGAACUUGUUUUAACGACCUGUAGGUAUGUGUUAAAGAAGUCUAGCUUGUAGGAAGAUGAUGAAAGCUAUCAAAUAAGCAUUCGCGUGUGGGUUUGUAUUCAGAACGCGACAACUGGUUACAAACGGGCGCCGCAGCUGAUUCUGCCGAUAUACGAUACACUGAGAAUAAAUUUAUUUUGAUCACAAUCUCGAGCCGUUGCGACGGCUAUUUUUUAUAAGUGAGAAAUGAAUAUUUUUGAUAACAGGAUUCCGUUGGAAAAUAAUAGAUCGUUUAUAUAAUCCGAUUACGAAGUCGCUUUCGUAUGUAACGGUUCGAAUGGUGAUUGAAACGAACAAUUUUACUCGUAGUUGGUAGCCGUGUUGUAUUUUAGUGCUCUUAAAUUGUUGACUAUUCUUUAACACGAUAAACUGCCAACAAUAGAAAAACAAAAGGUCUACGUCAUGCAUACCAAUGAGGCAGAUGUGUCAAGCUUAUGCGCGCGCGUGCGAUUUUUGUAUUCGUACUUGCGUGCGACUUUUGGCGCUUUUUAUUUGCGUUUUUUGGUUAACGUGUAUGCGAGCGGUACUGUAGCAGCAUCUAGGGCUUUCACUCACUUCGCUAUUUUUUAACUUUAUCCCAGUGAAUGCGACGGUAACUUCAUCUGCACCAAAAUAUUUAGUUUAAGCUUUCCAGUUAGAGUCGAAUACUUCUCUCUCGAGUCGAGGGGAGGGGUAGGGAAAUCAGCAAGAGUAGUGAAUUGGAGUUUACCGUGACUCUGCUUUUUCUUUGAUUCCUUUUUGAAGUUUUUUUUUUGUAAAUGUUUGAAACCAAACAUAGCAGUCUGAAAGAUAUUUACACCUGCAAAUAUGUUUUGUUCAAAUUAUCUUUUUCGGAUAGACAAUGAUUUUUUUGAAAAUUGCAGUAAUGGAGGAAUCGUUUGGGAUGUCUUCCGGAAUGAAGAGUUUCAAGGCGAUUUGUUGAUGUACUGAUUUCAGAUUGAAACAAGCAAGGCAAGAGACCAGAGACAAACACCAACUGAAUCGGACUGCCACCGCCCCCCAUCACAGCCGCCUCUCUUCGAAGACUUUUAAAUAUUUAUGAAAGUAAUACGCAUGUGUAUUAAGACAGAUAUGUGGUAGCACAAAACGCAUGAUUUUGAAAUAAACGUUAAUACCACAAGGUAGACAAGGUUUUGAAAGGCUAAGAAAACUUUCUGCAAGAGGUGGGCGCGGUGGGGGAGGUCGGAUGGGUGAAAGGAAAAAACUGUUCAAUUGUUGUAAAUAAACAACUGUAAAUUAAAGUAAGGAUUGCAAUAUUACUAUAGCAAUGAAUAUUGGAUCAUUGUACUGUAAUGUUGGUAAAAAUGUA